UUCAAAAGAUCAGGACAAGUCAGCAAAAGCCACAAGACUCAGUUGGAUUGUCUCAAGAAGUUCCCUGGAACGUUUUUCUCUGCGAAGUCAAGUGUCAAAGCAUGAAGAUCAGCGUAGGGAUAUCAGUCCAAAGAGCGGUGCCUCACUGUGAGUGGGCUUCUGUGUCUCUCCUCUCCUCAGAGUCCAUCCGAGGAUGUUCUCAGCUGGCCAAAAUCACAGCCCUUAACCAAGAGAGCACUCAGCAAAACAUCACGUGCCCUCUCACAAGAGAGCUCUCGCGAGAAAACAUCGCAUGACUCAAAGAAAUCAGAAAUUUCCACUUCAUUUGAUGAAUAAGGGCCUAUGAUCUCUCAAGCAAUGGUCAUGUGACUGGGUUUAUCGUCCAGGCAUGGCUUCCUUUCUGUGGAGCGGGUCUCAAACAUAAUCAGAAAGCAAUUGGUUAUCUUCAUGACAGUCAUGCCGGUAUCGCACAGUGGACACCUCUUCCCGGAGGUUAAUACUGGAGCAUCCCGAGGCCACUGUUCGAGUCCUGAUCUGAAAGUCUGACUGUAUACAGUAAGUGAAG